GUGAGAACAGCAUCGGCAAAGGCAGAGAAAAUAUUAAUGAUAAACAAAUAAGUGCUUUGCUACCACCCUGAACUGCCAAUCUGGUUAGGGGCCGAAGAAGUUUGUUUGUUUCCUGGAUGCAAAGAACCAGCUGAUUUCUCCAAGCCUGGUGCAACUGACAGUCAUCCCAGACGACACUGAUGCCCUCUGGAAGGUGCACACAUGGCACUGACAACUUUGCAAGGGAGGAAGCAGGAGCCCUAAGAAAGGACAUAACUUGCCCAGGAUCACCAGCAAGUGAGAGCCGAAGUGUGGCUCCUUCUGACACACGGCUCCUGAAUGGUGGCCUUGCCUUGGGGACAUUUUUGAACUGAGAUUUGAUCUGGCACCCGGGAGACCUGAGGACCCCCCCCCCAUGCAAACACCUCCAGAACAUGAAGCAUAUCAUAACUGCUCAAUCCAAAUGUGUUGAAGAGGUAAAUGAAUUAUUCCAUAGAACACCAUAGAUUCACGGCUUCCACCUACACUACGAAUAAAUUCCAAACUCCUUGCCAUAGCCUACAAGGCCAGGCUUGAUCUGCACUCUGUUCACACACAAACACACACACACACACACAUCCCACCUCUCCAAUGUCACCUGGAAU